rnacentral:misc_RNA from 1 species
UAGCAAAGUAGUCCCUCUGGUCCC